rnacentral:lncRNA from 10 species
CACGACUGGCUGCAUUUAUUUUCUUCCUAUGUCUUUCAAGCUGCUUACAAAAAAGUCUUUUGGAUGAACCUUUUGUUGUUGUUUAGAUUUUUUUCUUCCUUUAUAGAUUCUUUCAAAUGAAGAAAAGAGAUCAAAUUAUGAUCAAUAUGGAGACGCUGGAGAGAACCAGGGCUACCAGAAGCAGCAACAGCAGCGAGAGUAUCGCUUCCGCCAUUUCCAUGAAAAUUUUUAUUUUGAUGAAUCCUUUUUUCACUUCCCUUUUAAUUCUGAACGGCGGGACUCAAUUGACGAAAAGUAUUUAUUGCACUUUUC